GUAUUGAUUGCGUGUGACCGCAAAAACAAAACAUUCUACACUGUAUCGAGUUUGUGUGAAAACGUGAGCCCCCGAAAGGGGACCCACGCGGUGGUGCACAUAGGGGUGAGAUGGAUGUUUGAGAACGCUCGGGCGUGCACGACGAAAAAGUCAGCGACAGCCCUCGCGCCUCGGUUUUACGAUAAUGAUCCUUCCGCAGGUUCACCUACGGAAA
rnacentral:misc_RNA from 1 species